rnacentral:rRNA from 1 species
GAUGAACGCUGGCGGCGUGCCUAAUACAUGCAAGUCGAACGAGGUGCUUUUGUAGCAAUACGAGAGUAUCCUAGUGGCGAACGGGUGAGUAACGCGUUGGUGACCUACCCCAAAGUGUGGGAUAACAGUCCGAAAGGAUUGCUAAUACCGCAUGUGGUCUUCGGAUUUAGAAACUGAUGACUAAAGGAGCAAUUCGCUUUGGGAGGGACCUGCGUCCCAUCAGCUAGUUGGUGAGGUAAUGGCUCACCAAGGCUACGACGGGUAGGGGACCUGAGAGGGUGACCCCCCCACAAUGGAACUGAAACACGGUCCAUACACCUACGGGUGGCAGCAGUAGGGAAUAUUGCACAAUGGGCGAAAGCCUGAUGCAGCAACGCCGCGUGUGCGAUGAAGGCCUUGGGUCGUAAAGCACUUUUCUGGGAGAUGAGCAAGGACAGUAUCUCAGGAAUAAGUCUCGGCUAACUACGUGCCAGCAGCCGCGGUAAU